rnacentral:rRNA from 1 species
UACGAAGGGGGCUAGCGUUGCUCGGAAUCACUGGGCGUAAAGGGUGCGCAGGCGGCCGUGUGUGUGAGGCGUGAAAGCCCGGGGCUUAACCCCGGAAUUGCACCUCAAACUACACGGCUAGAGCAUUGGAGAGGGUAGCGGAAUUCACGGUGUAGCAGUGAAAUGCGUAGAUAUCGUGAGGAACACCAGAGGCGAAGGCGGCUACCUGGACAAUUGCUGACGCUCAGGCACGAAAGCGUGGGGAGCAAACAGG